UUCCCAUCCCCUGUCAACUCAGACGCAGUUAAAAAAAUACUUCGCAUAAUUGACCCGCUAGACAAAAGAAAGAGAGUCCAGGCAAAAAAGGGCAUCCCGACGAACCAAAAAAAAAAGAAUAAAGAGGUUCGGGAAAAAAUUAGGGAUAUAAAAAUAAAAAAAUGUACACCCGGUGAGUCGAAAACCCGAAAGGGUGGCUCAGGCAAAAAUGGGUAUCCCGGUGGAUUGAAAAC
rnacentral:lncRNA from 1 species